rnacentral:rRNA from 1 species
UGGGGAAUUUUGGACAAUGGGGGAAACCCUGAUCCAGCCAUCCCGCGUGUGCGAUGAAGGCCUUCGGGUUGUAAAGCACUUUUGGCAGGAAAGAAACGUCGCGGGUUAAUACCCCGCGAAACUGACGGUACCUGCAGAAUAAGCACCGGCUAACUACGUGCCAGCAGCCGCGGUAAUACGUAGGGUGCAAGCGUUAAUCGGAAUUACUGGGCGUAAAGCGUGCGCAGGCGGUUCGGAAAGAAAGAUGUGAAAUCCCAGAGCUUAACUUUGGAACUGCAUUUUUAACUACCGGGCUAGAGUGUGUCAGAGGGAGGUGGAAUUCCGCGUGUAGCAGUGAAAAUGCGUAGAUAUGCGGAGGAACACCGAUGGCGAAGGCAGCCUCCUGGGAUAACACUGACGCUCAUGCACGAAAGCGUGGGGAGCAAACAGGAUUAGAUACCCUGGUAGUCCACGCCCUAAACGAUGUCAACUAGCUGUUGGGGCCUUCGGGCCUUGGUAGCGCAGCUAACGCGUGAAGUUGACCGCCUGGGGAGUACGGUCGCAAGAUUAAAAACUC